rnacentral:rRNA from 1 species
UACGUAGGGACCAAGCGUUGUCCGGAAUCAUUGGGCGUAAAGAGCGUGUAGGCGGCUUGUUAAGUCUUGCGUGAAAUCUCGGGGCUCAACCCCGAGCGGUCGUGAGAAACUGGCAGGCUAGAGUGCGGGAGAGGAGAGUGGAAUUCCUGGUGUAGCGGUGAAAUGCGCAGAUAUCAGGAAGAACACCCGUGGCGAAGGCAGGUCUCUGGGCCAUAACUGACGCUGAGAAGCGAAAGCAUGGGGAGCGAACAGG